UACGAAGGGGGCUAGCGUUGCUCGGAAUCACUGGGCGUAAAGGGUGCGUAGGCGGGUCUUUAAGUCAGGGGUGAAAUCCUGGAGCUCAACUCCAGAACUGCCUCUGAUACUGGGGAUCUUGAGUCCGGAAGAGGUAAGUGGAACUGCGAGUGUAGAGGUGAAAUUCGUAGAUAUUCGCAAGAACACCAGUGGCGAAGGCGGCUUACUGGUCCGGUACUGACGCUGAGGUGCGAAAGCUAGGGGAGCAAACGGG
rnacentral:rRNA from 1 species